rnacentral:rRNA from 1 species
GACGAACGCUGGCGGCGUGCUUAACACAUGCAAGUCGUACGGUAAGGCCCUUUCGGGGGUACACGAGUGGCGAACGGGUGAGUAACACGUGAGUAACCUGCCCACAACUUUGGGAUAACGCUAGGAAACUGGUGCUAAUACUGGAUAUGUGCUCCUGCUGCAUGGUGGGGGUUGGAAAGCUCCGGCGGUUGUGGAUGGACUCGCGGCCUAUCAGCUUGUUGGUGGGGUAGUGGCCUACCAAGGCGGCGACGGGUAGCCGGCCUGAGAGGGUGACCGGCCACAUUGGGACUGAGAUACGGCCCAGACUCCUACGGGAGGCAGCAGUGGGGAAUAUUGCACAAUGGGCGCAAGCCUGAUGCAGCAACGCCGCGUGCGGGAUGACGGCCUUCGGGUUGUAAACCGCUUUCAGCAGGGACGAAGCUUUUUGUGACGGUACCUGCAGAAGAAGCACCGGAUAACUACGU